CGCUUCACUCCAAGCGCUAAUUCCUUCUCCAAACCCCAACUGUGGACGACAACAACAACAACAACGGCCAACAACCCGACGUCCUUGCCGCCGCCGCCUCCCAACUCACCCCCGAGGACGCUCGCUCCCUCCUCCCCUCCUUCACCUGCGACCAGCUCCUCUCCAUCGUCCAAUCCGCCGCCCUAUGCCACCGCGGCGUCCUCUCCGUCUUCUGCACGGAUGGCCAUCCGAGACCAGAUUGUGUCUCUCCUCUGCUCUCUCCGUCUCUCUCUCUCUCUCUCUCUCCGUAGAUCUCUAGAAGCUGCAAGUAAGAAGCUCUAAUUUCGACCCAAACUUUUGUUUCUGGUUGCGUACUGAGUUAAUUCAUAUAAAGAUCUAAUUAUUAUUUGUGAUUUUUUUAUUUGGUAUAUAUGGAUUGUUGAACUCUGUAUCUCGAAGUUGCGAAGGAGAUAAAGAUCGAUCUUUGAGCCUCUGUUUGUAGCAACAUAUUUCAUCUGUUUCUGGGUCUUUCGCAGAAUCACUGAUUGUGCAAGUAAGAAGCCCUAAUUUUGACCCAAACCCUUGAACCUAGUUACGUACUGAGUUAAUUCAUGUAAAGAUCUAAUUUUUAUUUGUGAUUUUUUUUACUUGGUAUGUAUGGAUUGCUGUACUCUUUUAUGUAGUUCCUAGGUGAUUGGCCGGUGCUAGCACGAGGUGUUUCAUGCUUGUUGUCUUUUUAGGACAGUAGAAUUUGUAACUUUAAGCAGCUUAUGGUGGAAUAUGGUUUGAAAGCAGUCUGCAUAUAUUUCCAUACACUUAUAAGUCAUUGUUGAGUUAGUUACAUAAGGGUAGGACUGUAGGAGUUCCAAAGCAAAUCAUGCUAACCAAAAGAUUUGCUUUAAUAGUUAAAAGAGCUUGAAGUGAGAACAAUAGACAUUGUUGCAAAUCAUGCACACCAAAAGAUUUUGUUACGAAAAAUUUGUAUUUUGGUGGUUUUGAUGACCUGUUUGUGAAGAUGCAAUUUCAAAGCUGGAGGAAGCUUCGGAAGUUGAUCCAAAGCUGCACUACACUCUCUGGUGCUUGGGAAAUGCUCAUACUAAAAUGGCAUUUACGACUUCUGAUCGAGAUGAGGCUAUGGUUUACUUUGACAAGGCAUCCCGGUACUUUCACUGAGCUCUUGAUGAGGAUCCACUGAAUGAUCUUUAUAUCAAAUCCGUAGUUGUCUCUCACAAGGCACUUGGCUUGCGCAUGGAGUUUCAUAAGCAAGGUGUAGCUCCGCUGGCUAUGGGAAUUGUUGGUCCUAGGUCUUCCUACUCUGCAAAGACUGCAAAGAAAAAGAACACUGAUCUUAAGUUGGACGUAUUUGGAUGGAUGAUCAUCGCAGGCUGCAUUAUUACAUUGCUGGGGUUAGCAAAAUCUCAUGUUCCCCCGUCACCUUCUGGAUGAGUCGAGCCUUUAUCUCAUUUAUGAACUACUAUGUGUUUUGGAAUUACGUUCGUCACUGCUCUUUUUUUCUGGUUUGUUGAACAUGUCUGUGCCCUUAGGGCGUUAAACUUUUGGACGAAGUCAUGGUUUCGCCAUAUGAAGACUGUUUUAAGUAGAUAGUAUGUUUAAGAUAUGAUGAUAUAUAAAUUUCCUCAAGUUGAGAAGCUGUUACCUAGAUA